GAGCCGUGAGGUUUGGAGCUGACUGGUACUAAUCGAUCGAGGGCUUUACUUA
rnacentral:rRNA from 1 species